rnacentral:lncRNA from 1 species
UUGAAGUCUUCCAUGGCACAGUUUGGGCUGGAAUCGUUUGAGGGCUGACAUCUGACUUAGCUCUGAGUCCUUGGCAGCCAGUGCAGACUCUAGAGCAGAGCAGACUUCGUGCAUUGUCCUGCUAAAAACUUUGACACAGAACAGCAAAAGCACACGGAGAAAACGAAUCACUCUGACCCUGCCGGUGUGAGGU